rnacentral:rRNA from 1 species
UACGGAGGGGGCUAGCGUUGUUCGGAAUUACUGGGCGUAAAGCGCACGUAGGCGGCUUCGCAAGUCAGGGGUGAAAGCCCGGGGCUCAACCCCGGAACUGCCUUUGAGACUGCGUCGCUUGAAUCCGGGAGAGGCGGGGGGAAUUUCGGGUGUAGAGGUGAAAUUCGUAGAGAUUCGGAAGAACACCAGCGGCGAAGGCGGCCCGCUGGACCGGUAUUGACGCUGAGGUGCGAAAGCGUGGGGAGCAAACAGG